rnacentral:rRNA from 1 species
GGNGGGGCGCUGCUUACCAUGCAGUCGACGAUGAACUGGGUGCUUGCACCUGGGGAUUAGUGGCGAACGGGUGAGUAACACGUGAGUAACCUGCCCUGGACUCUGGGAUAACCCCGAGAAAUCGGAGCUAAUACCGGAUAGGACCUGGAACCGCAUGGUUUUGGGUGGAAAGUUUUUUCGGUCUGGGAUGGACUCGCGGCCUAUCAGCUUGUUGGUGAGGUAAUGGCUCACCAAGGCGUCGACGGGUAGCCGGCCUGAGAGGGUGACCGGCCACACUGGGACUGAGACACGGCCCAGACUCCUACGGGAGGCAGCAGUGGGGAAUAUUGCACAAUGGGCGCAAGCCUGAUGCAGCAACGCCGCGUGAGGGAUGACGGCCUUCGGGUUGUAAACCUCUUUUAGUAAGGAAGAAGGGGAGCUUGCUCCUUGACGGUACUUGCAGAAAAAGGACCGGCUAACUACGUGCCAGCAGCCGCGGUAAUACGUAGGGUCCGAGCGUUGUCCGGAAUUAUUGGGCGUAAAGAGCUCGUAGGCGGUUUGUCACGUCUGCUGUGAAAUCCCGAGGCUCAACCUCGGGCCUGCAGUGGGUACGGGCAGACUGGAGUGCGGUAGGGGAGAUUGGAAUUCCUGGUGUAGCGGUGGAAUGCGCAGAUAUCAGGAGGAACACCGAUGGCGAAGGCAGAUCUCUGGGCCGUAACUGACGCUGAGGAGCGAAAGCGUGGGGAGCGAACAGGAUUAGAUACCCUGGUAGUCCACGCCGUAAACGUUGGGCGCUAGAUGUGGGGACCAUUCCACGGUUUCCGUGUCGUAGCUAACGCAUUAAGCGCCCCGCCUGGGGAGUACGGCCGCAAGGCUAAAACUCAAAGGAAUUGACGGGGGCCCGCACAAGCGGCGGAGCAUGCGGAUUAAUUCGAUGCAACGCGAAGAACCUUACCAAGGCUUGACAUAUACGAGAACGCCGCAGAAAUGUGGAACUCUUUGGACACUCGUAUACAGGUGGUGCAUGGGUUGUCGUCAGCUCGUGUCGUGAGAUGUUGGGUUAAGUCCCGCAACGAGCGCAACCCUCGUCGUAUGUUGGCCAGCACGUAAUGGUUGGGAACUCAUAUGAGACUGCCGNGUCAACUCGGAGGAAGCUGNGAUGACGUCAAUCAUCAUGCCCCUUAUGUCCUGGGCUUCACCGCAUGCUUAACAUGNCGGNNACCNAGGCUGGCCAUGUCGUAGGACGGAGCGAAUUCUAAAAAGGCCCGCGNCUCUCAGA